CAAAGAAAUGGAAAAGCUGAAAACAGAAGAGUCCGACUGAAACUUGAGCUAGAAUAGUUGAAACAGGGAUGGUUUGAAGGUAGAGGAAAUUAUUAUUCUCAAAAUGAUAAUUAGUUACUGCCUCAAGUGUUGUAAAGAUCUGAACACUACUUUGGGUCCCUCUGCUCUUGGGAAUGAGAAAACCACUUGAAGGGGUCCAUUAGUUAUAAAAACAGUAAGUACCUGAUGACUAGCCUCAGGAGUAGUAAAGUAACUGUUAAACUUAAUGAAGAUAUUUUACACAGAGAAGCUAAGCAUUCUGUUUUGUCACAAUGGUGCAUUCAAAGCUGUUUCUAUAGGAUCUGUUACCUAUUUAGUAAUAAAUAGGUACAAGUUGUUUGGGUUUUUUCUCUGUGUGGCAUUAUACCUUUAAAAUUAUCACUUGUUUCUAUGGAGAUCAGUUGGUUCCUAUUUGAGCAAUUAUUGUUAGGGUAUGAAACAUUCAUUCAAUAUAUUCUGACCUCCUACUAUGUGCCAGGCACUGCAGUAGACACUGGGGAUAGAGAGGCACAUGACAUUGACAUUACACUUGCUUGCUAGAACUUAUAAGGAAAAGGAGACAGAUAGUGAGAGCACACAAUAAACAAAUACAAAUUCUAGGAAGAAGAAAUCAAGCAGAGUAAGGGAUAAAAUGUGGUGAGGGGGACAAGAAGUUAGUCAGGGCAGAUACUUUAUUUUUUUAUUUAUUUUUUUUAAGUGGGCUCCACAAAUUCCCAACCCUGAGUUCAAGACCUGAGCUGAGAUCAAGAGACUGAGGCUUUGACCGACUGAGCCACCCAGGUGCCCUAGGGCGGAUACUUUAGAUGAGAUGUUCAGGAAGGCCUCUCUGAGGAGGUGACAUUUGAGCCUGAGGGAAGAGCUUUCCCCCUUCCCCCGAAAAGCAGAGAGACCACACAAGAGGACCAGGGACACACUGGACAUGGACUGAAGCGUGGUGUGGUACCACCGUGCUUCCGAGCGGCUGUGAGCGACGUUGGGUCCGGACGAGGAAGGACUGUGAGUCAGCAACUGCCAGAGCUGCGUGGAGAGCUAAGCUUAGCGGACGUAGGCUGCUUCUCCCCAAAAACCUCGCGUGAAAAACCGCCUGCCAAAUGCUUUCUCAUUUGGACCCAGACUCCAGUUCCGGAGCAGUCUUGUAGGUGGAUCCCCUAGGAAAAGAAGUUCUAAAGCAGUAAGAAGAAAGCAUUUCAAUUUGGA
rnacentral:lncRNA from 1 species